AUGAAUCAUAUUGUAUCACUGUGGUGGACUUUCGGUGGAGGAACUAAACUGGUGGUCUCUGGUCCCACAGUGAAGCCCUCAGUGUCUCUGCUGCCGCCCUCUUCUCUGCAGAUCUCUGGAGACUCAGCCGCACUGCUCUGCCUGCUCAGCUCUUACUCUCCACAGGGGGCGCUGGUGAGCUGGACACUGGACGGGUCAGAGGUCACCGAGGGGGUCGUGACCAGCGCAGAGAGCCAGCGGGACGGCCGCUACAGCCGCAGUAGCGUCCUGACCCUCAGCAAAGCACGCUGGGAAAAGGGAGAGGUGUACGUCUGCAGAGUAACACAUGAUGGAGCUCCUCAUGAGGUCUCGUUCCACAAGAGCUCUGAGUGCUGAUGUUUCUCUCCUGAAGAUGAGCCGUAUCUGAGUGUCCUGUGUCAGGCAGGAUUCACAUGAGUCUAGUGCUGCAGCUGUAGUGAUUUACAACUCAAUACUGAAAGAGAGCUGGCGUGUCAAAGCACUGUGUGAUCUUUCAAUCUGCUGUAACAUUCAAUAAAGCUUCUCAACAAGUUCA